AGCGCUCUUAGUCAGUUCGGCAGAACGCAGGUCUCCAAAACC
rnacentral:tRNA from 1 species